AUUGAACGCUGGCGGCAGGCCUAACACAUGCAAGUCGAGCGAGCGGCGGACGGGUGAGUAAUGUAUGGGGACUGCCCGAUAGAGGGGGAUAACUACUGGAAACGGUAGCUAAUACCGCAUACCAUCGGAUAACCCAGAUGGGAUUAGCUAGUAGGUGAGGUAAUGGCUCACCUAGGCGACGAUCCCUAGCUAGUCUGAGAGGAUGAUCAGCCACACUAGGACUGAGACACGGCCCAGACGCCUGCGGAGGAAGCAGUGGGGAAUAUUGCACAAGGGGCGGAAUCCUGAUGCAGCCAUGCCGCGGGUAUGAAGACGGCCCUAGGGUUGUAAAAUACUUUCAGUCGUGAGGCGUUACCGGCAGAAGAAGCACCGGCUAACUCCGUGCCAGCAACCGCGGUAAUUC
rnacentral:rRNA from 1 species